GACGAACGCUGGCGGCGUGCUUAACACAUGCAAGUCGAACGGUGAAGGGGCCUGCUUUUGUGGGCCCUGGAUGAGUGACGAACGGGUGAGUAACACGUGAGUAACCUGCCCCCUUCUUCUGGAUAACCGCAUGAAAGUGUGGCUAAUACGGGAUAUUCUGGUUCUGUCGCAUGAUGGGUCUGGGAAAGAUUGCGCCUUUGGGUGUUUUUGGUGGGGGAUGGGCUCGCGGCCUAUCAGCUUGUUGGUGGGGUGAUGGCCUACCAAGGCGGUGACGGGUAGCCGGCCUGAGAGGGUGGACGGUCACACUGGGACUGAGACACGGCCCAGACUCCUACGGGAGGCAGCAGUGGGGAAUAUUGCACAAUGGGCGCAAGCCUGAUGCAGCGACGCCGCGUGAGGGAUGGAGGCCUUCGGGUUGUAAACCUCUUUCGCCAGUGAAGCAGGCCUGCUCCUUGUGGGUGGGUUGACGGUAGCUGGAGAAGAAGCGCCGGCUAACUACGUG
rnacentral:rRNA from 1 species